rnacentral:lncRNA from 1 species
AAAAUUAACAUUCCUAGAGACUCAGUGGGGCCUAGCGGGCCAUCUUAAUUAGCGAGUUAUCCCAAGUGGUGUGUACCUCGAUUUAUGUGCAAGUGGCACCUUAUUGUGUUAUACAUGUUUAUUGAACUUCUAGAUGAUACAAAUGAAAUGCAUGAUUACUAGUAUAGAAAUGCGAGCCUAGAAUCUUAUUAGAAGUAUUAUUAUAUAGAACUUAUAUGCUGGUAUAACAAGAUAGUUAGUGGUCGUGAGAAGUUGAUGGUGUAGGUGCUUACGCUGUAAAUCAUAAGGGUUGAGAUAGGAGUAAGUAUGUUGUGUGUUGAUCUAAUUGCACCAUAUAGCAAUGGUACAUGGAUGGUCUUACUUGGCAUAUCCGCGAUAGGGGACCAUACAUAUUUUAGAGGUGAUCAUGCUUAGUAUAUCCACGAUAGGGGACCAUACAUAUUUCAGGGGUGAUCAUGCUUGGUAUAUCCACGAUGGGUGAUCACUGCCUGCACGAUUAGACUAUGCAUAUGGUUCCACUUGGUAUAUCCGUAAUGGGGGACUAUACGCAUUCUAUGAGUGAUGAUGCUUGGUAUAUCCGCGAUAGGUGAUCACUACCUAGAGCUAUAGGAUACAAUCCUGCUUGGUAUAUUCGUGAUUGGGGACUGUACAUAUGUUAGGGGUGAUCAUGCUUGGUAUAUCCGCGAUGGGUGAUUACUGCCUACGUUAUUGGACUAUGCCUAUGGUUCUGCUUGGUUUAUCCAUAAUGGGGAACCAUACACAUUCUAGGAGUGAUCAUGUUUGGUAUAUUUGCGCUGGGCGAUCACUACCUAGAGUUAAGAUGUGGUCCUGCUUCGUAUAUCUGCAAUGGGGACCAUACAUAUUUCAGGGCUGAUCAUGCUUGGUAUAUCCGCGAAAGGUGAUCAUUGCCUGAACGCUUAAAUUAUGCCUAUGGUUCUGCUUGGUAUAUUUGCAAUGUGGGACCUUACGCAUUCUAGGGGUGAUGAAGAUUAGUUGUACUUGGUACAUUUUGGUAAGCGAGCAUAUUUUAGUUGGAUUCCUUUGAGUGGUCCAAAAUCCUUACUCGUGCUCAUUUCCAUAAAGUUAGUCUGGAAACCUAGAUUCAAAUGAAUGAGAAUUACCCACAGUAGAUCUUGUGAGUAUAAAUUAGAUUUACCUUGUUAUUACUUAUAAUCCAAGUAGGGAACUAUGUAGAGUUCUUUAAUUAAAUUUGUGAAAUGAUAUGUUAUCUCAUUGAUUGAUUAACGUAGUUAAAUGAUAAUAUCGUGCAUCUUUGACUUGUGAAUUUAUUAAUGGACAUGUUUGUGGAAUGGUGUUGGAAAGCAUGUGAUAUAUGUGAAUGACGAAAUGACAAAUCUCGGGUUAUAUAUAUUUGAUAUAUAGAGAAAGGUUCAGAGUUUAAUAAUUGGUGAACUACGAAUGGUUUGAUCCUUAUUUAGGGUAUGUAGGCAGUCUAACGCAAGGGUUAGAUGCAGCCAUGAAAUGGAACCAAGUUACCACGUGGUUGAAUUAGUGUUUAUUUUUGGUCUUGUCUCGGGGCGAGACAUGAUAGAUAAACAGGAAUUGGUGACGUCACAUGUUGGGAUCGGCGUGUGACAGUUAGACUUUUGCAGGUUUAUACCUUUACAUUUUGUUUAAUGGGGGUUAGACUUAGACCUAGCAUUUCUGUCGUAUUUUCUGUGUUCAUGUCAUUUUUGUGUUAUACAUGAUAUCUUAUUGGGUUGUAUCGUGUAACACCUAUUAAAAUGAACUGGUAAUAUGACCCGACCCGAACUCGAUCCAUUAAUAUUAAUGGGUAAUAUGACGCGAACUGUUACCUGUCGAAGAAAAUAUAUUUUAAACCAAUAAAUAAUCAAAUGAAAAAACAUAAUACUAAAUUAGUAAACACAUACCACAUUGUCACAUAAAUAUUACUUCAAAACACAAAAGCACAUUUGUCUUUCAAGUAUUACAUAAAUAUUAAUUAAUGUAGAAGUGUGGAAAAUAUAAAAGAAAAUAAAUAAAAACUCGUAAUGACAAGCUUUACAACUUUUGUGAAGGGUUCAACUUCAAAACUCACCACUAUAAUCUUAUUAACUAUUGUGGAUGCAAAUUUUCUCCUCUUCGAUCUUGGACGAUUUUGCACCUACAAAACAACUAGCACCUUAGGUUAAGGCCAAAAGUCUCAUGCGCCCACGAUGAAUGGGGAGGGCUUUGGCCGAAGAACCUCCGAUGCCAAAGUUAGAAUUUUUAGAGAGAAAAAGUGUUUAGUGUUUAGCAUUUUUUGCAAGAGGAUUGGAAUGAAUUUUUGGUGAGAAUAGGUGCCUAUUUAUAGAGUUAGGGCUUGACCAAUUUUGAAUAAAAGUAACCAGCCACUAAAGGUUUUUUGUGGGGUUCAAUUUCAUGUUUAAUUAGCCAAUUUAUUGGCUAAUUAAAUAUGAAAAGAAUAAAUGGGUGGUUAUAAAAAUGAAUGACUAAUUUAAUAAGGAAAAUGGGAAAGGUGAGGAUGGGAAUGGUGGUGGCCGGUUUUGACUAUCAAUUUGGGUGAUUUUAUUGACUAUUAAGGAUGAUUUUAGGAGAUAUGGUAGGUAUAUAUUAUUUAGCUAAUUGAUUAGCUAAAUAAUGAAAUAGAAAAUACUAGGUUUUGGGAAAUACCUUAUAGAAAGGAUUUGAUGAAAGAGGUUUUUAAUUGUUACCUUUUUUGGGCACUUUUGACUUGAUUGAAAGAUGAUUGCCUGCUGCUCACGCGUAGGAAUCCUGGUAUGCCUCAAGGGUAUUUUUGUUCUCUUUUGUCCAAAAGUCCACGUGUCGCCUAGUGAAUAUUUUUGGCUCCACAAAUGCCCCCACACCUGUUGGGCUGCUUGUAGGAAAGAGCAACAGGUGUAGAGAUUUUCUUGCUUUAGGAAACUUAAGACUGCUUCCUAUUUUGAUGUUGAUUAUCUCUUUAAUAGGAAAUUAGAUCCUUCUAGGAAAAGGAAAUAAAUUUCUCUCAAAGCCUAUUUAAGUCCACCUUAAGUGGGUUAUUAAAUCAACUUUGGAGAGCGAUUUAUUCUACCCUACAAGAGAGAGAUGGCUUAGAGGAUAUUUGUUCCCCCUCCUCUAGCAAUCUUCUACAUCUUGCCCGUGCAAAGGACCGUCUUUCAUUGCUUUCUUCGUCUUCUUCGUGCCACACCGAUGUAAGAAAAAUUUAAUUUUUCUUGCCUUAUUCUUGGAUAGUGCUAUUGCGGGGUAGCAGUCGGGGUGGUGCGGUACGUCGGCUGGCAGGGGCCAGGAGCUGGCUCGGCAUGGGCUGAGGAGAUGUCGUGGCAGGGACCACUGCUUAGGCAGCUUGGCUUGGCUUGAGCCAAGGGCAGCUUGUGCAGUUGGGGUCGAGGAUUGUGGCGCUGGGGCGCAGUGCUAGGCGAGCCGCAUGGCUCAUGUCCUUUGGGCUCUUGGACCUGACUCGGGCCAGGCUGGCGAUUGAGAGAAAUGAGGAGAUUGCGGGUCUCAUGGGCUGCUGGAAUGUUGGGCAUGCAGGCCUCCUGCCUGCUGGAAUGCUGGGUUGAGCUCCCCUGCUGAGUACCAUGAACGUCGUUGGCUGUUUAGUCCUCUUUGCUGAAAGAAAAGUGGGCUGCUCCAGAAAGAUGAGGUAAAGAGGAUCAAGGCGGAUGCAUUGGCUCGUCUGAUCGCUGUCGUGGAGCUUACUAUGAAUGAAGAUGGAAAGAAGAAAUCUUCCCCGCCUGCUCAUGAGAUGCCAGUUAAGAAAAAACUGAAGACUUCUUAUACUGCUCAUAAGGGUCCACUUCCUACCGAGAGGUAUGUGAUUGUCAUGACUUCUUCCAAUGGGAAGAAAAAUAAGGCUGCUAGAUCUGAGCAUGUGGCGUCUUCCAUGUUGAGAAUGGCUAGUACAAUUGUGGAUAAGAUUGCUCAGCGUAAAGGUUUUAUCAUGCCCCCAGUGCCGAAGUCUGUACCAGGAUGUUUUUUGGGAGCCAAGUCCGGUUCACCUUUAUAGAGACUUGCUAUUAUGAAGAGCGGUAAGGUGGACUCUGCUGCUAAAGUGGCGCCAAAGCCUGCUCCCUUUGCUGCUGAGAUUGAUUCGCCUCAGAUUCAAGAUCUUAAGCUUGCAAUUUCUGAGCUUCGUUUCGCUGCUUAUGCUAAGAAAGGAGUGGAUGAGCUUCUCUAUUUCUCCGAAAGACUUGCUUGCUUUUACUUUUAAGGCUUCCAUUGGUGAAGUAGUUGGAGAAGUUAGUGCCCAGACUGGGGCAGCCGGGGGUGAAGCGCCGGAUGAUGCUGCUGCUAAGAGCGUUACGGCUGUUGAAGGUGUGGCGACCGAGUAGUCGUGGGAUGUCCAAGCUGCUGUAGUGUAGUAUUUUAGGUAGCCUUUAGGAUUUUCUUUAUUUUUCCUUGUAGCUCUUGUUUUGCUUGAACUCCUUCAGCCUUUGCUAGUUGUUUAUAAACAUGUUUUCCUUCGUUUUUCUUCAUAUUCACUUCUUUUGUUCAUGCCCUAACCUUUAGACUUGAUAGACCAGUGGCAGGCAUGCUACUUUUUUUAUAAGCAGACAAGCUCGCGUAGCCUAUGCAGCCGUAGGUGUUGGUGUAGAACUUUGCAAAGUUGUUAGCCAUAGGAUUGGCAGCCGGAUGCCUUACUUACAGAAGCAGACAAGUCCGCGUAACCACUAGGCUGUUAACCUUGACUUUCUUCAAUUCCGUAGGUUGCGUAGCAAGUAUCACAACACUCUAGGACUUGGUGUAGGUUGUUCUGCGCUUGGCAGAGGUGAAGCUUAUCGACUACGUAGCAUGUCAACAGUGGAUAAAACUUCGUAUAUGCGCGCUAGCUUGUUUAACCUUUCAUAAGAAUGUGCGGUUGUAUAAGUCUAGCACGGCUUUACUGCUUGAAGGGCAAGCCGUAGGCAGUCUUCCGGAAUCCGUAGGCUACCUUAGUGCACUCGGUAGCAGCUUUAGGAUUCCAGGGCAGCCGUCCAUCGGAUGUACUGCGUAAUGUGCCCUCUCCGUCUCUAGGGCCCGGUUCCCCACGAAUUAGGCCAAGAAACCCAAAAUCCUUCAGUUAGCUAAGCCUUGAAAAAGACCAUUGCGGCUACUUCUAGGAAUCCCGGCGCAAGCCAUCGUGCAUCUAGUUAUACUAGGGCAGCCAGGCUCAUCCACGUCUGGAUAUUCGGAGUGUAAAGUUUAUCCUCCCGUCUUGGAGAGCUGACCCAUAUGGGUGUCGGGGAAUUAGUUUACCCUCUCGCACUGGAGAGCAAUUAGUUUACCCUCUCGCAUGGAGAGCAUGGUUGGUCCCUCGGGGGGCGCAAUUCCUGCGAUGGGUCCCUAAGAAGGGCGCAGUCUUCUUUUGAAGUGCCGGAGUGAUCAGUUGUUGUAAGCAUGCAGCCGAACCAAGUUGUGAUUACUUCUGAAUUCCUCAUUGAAAAACGAGUGAAACGAACGAGAACUUAGCUGUAAGGUAGGAACUGCAUAACAACUGGAUAGUCCUCGACUUGUGAGGUGGUGCCCGUCGAACUUCUUGAGUCUUCGGGCUUUGAUGUAGUGGGAGGUCACACAUGGUACUUCUUCAGAUUGUAGGCGCUCCACUACUUUUCAAUGUUUUUAUCGUUUCAUGGUAGCGGGGGUAUAAUUACUCUUGCCGCCUAUUCUGCUGAGCUUGUACGGACCUUCCCAGAUGAGAUCCAUCUUUUUGGAUGUUUCGGCCUGCCUAUUGCCUUGAGGAUAUCUCGACAUGGACAUAUGCUGCUUGAUGCCAUAUUUUUGGAAGAACUUCGCCAAAUCUUUGUCCACGAAUUGCAGGCCGUUGUUGGUGACGAUGGAUUAAGGGAUGCCAAAUCGGUAAAUGAUGUUCCUCCAUAUGAAGCGCUCUAUGUCCGUCUGAAUCGUGGUCGUCAUGGGCUCUGCUUCCAUCUAUUUGGUGAAGUAGUCGGUUGCCACGAACCACGGCUGCUCGCGAGCCUUUGUAGUUGGAUGCGUCGUUGACAUGCGAAUGCCAGAAAUCUCCAUUGAGGGAAUAUGUGCGGCUAAAGUGUGCUCGACUGCCUUCGGGGCAUCAUUGGGCCGAGUUGUUGCUUUCGUCAGAAAACUUUGCAUCUGCCAGGGUCUACGCCUUUAUCGUCGUCGGUUUGGAUUCGGCGGAAUAGUGCGUCAUGAUGAUGACUGCAGGUAACUAUAGAAUACAGGUAGUCGGGCCCCCAGCUCUUCUCGCAUGAUGGUAGAGCUUAUUGCUACUUUAGAUACCGUCAAACAUGUGAAUAAGUCCUCCGCUGCUUCUAGGGAGGUGAUGUCGGGUACUUUUUCAAGUCCUUAAAUGUGCAUUGGCGAGCCUCAUCCCAAAGUGCAUGCUUCUCUGCUAAAGCAAAAGAGUCUGCCAGAGUUAGAUAUUCUUUCAUGAUCAAUUUUCCGAAUAGCGGGUGGUCUGCUGGAAGUCCUUUUUGGAAGGCUGCUCUAGCUAUCGAGUCGUUGCAUCCGACUAUUUUUGCCUUCUCUAUUUUGAACCUCCUCACAUAGUCGCGAAACGACUCCUUUGGGUUCUUCUUGAAGUCGAACAAAUGGUCAGACUUCUUUUUGAUCGAGCGAUAGGAUGAAUAUUCUUUGAUGAAAACCAAAGAAAGUUCGUAGAAAUUCCGGAUGGAUUAUGGCGGCAGGGUGUAGAACCAAUCUUGCGCCUCGCCUUGUAGAGUGGUGGCGAAUAUCUUGCACAUGAGAUCAUCGUUGUUUCGAUAAAGGAUAAUUGCGCUUUGGUAACGUUUUAAGUGUCUUUCCGGGUCUUCAUCCCCUUUGAAAUAUGUGAAAUGUGGCAUGCUGAACUCGCGUGGAGGCUGUGCCUCCUCGAUCUCCUCCGUGAAGGGUGACCUGCUUAUGUUGAUUAUGUUCCGUCGUAGUGCCUCGUCGGUGACCUCGUUGCGUUGGAAAUCAUGCAAUCGCUUGGUCAAGAGUCUCUCUACUUCUUCCUGAAUUUGCCUUUGUUGGGGUAGCGGAGCUCUCGGCUGCCCCCAGUCAUGACUUGCUGGUCUAGGCUGCUCUUCCAUGUGUUUGGCUCGUCUAUGCCGCGGAUGCAGUGCAUGUGGUGCGUUCCUAGUAGGCGAGCGAGUUCUUCGCAGGCUGCUGGUUGAACUUGAGCUGGAUUGAGUGACUGCUUCUCUCCGUCCGUCGUGCUGCCUACUCUGAUGUGAGGUGGAGGACGCUCAUUGUGGGCUUAGCUGCGAAUAGACACUUUGCCCGGAAGGUUGCUCAUGUUGACUAUCGGAGUAUGACCCCAACCGUGAAUGUAUGCUCAUCCGUGGGCCUAGUCGAGAGUGCAUGCUCCCUCGCGCUCUAAGACCGGAAUGUACACUGCCCAAACGUUCGGCUCGUGGCUGGUCGAGUGGCUGCUUACCGGGACGCUGCUGGAAAUGUUCGUCUGCCCUUGUCCUACUUCGGGAUACCUCGUCCGGGGCACGUUGGAUCCCGAUACGUUGCAAAAGUUGAUUCACCAAGGUUUUCUGUUGUGCAAGGGCGCUCGUCAACUCUAUGACUUGUCGAGACAAGUGUUGUUCGCCAUUUGGAUUGGAAGAGCUUGGAAGGAAUGCGCCUCCUUGGGCAGUGGAAAGGUGGUAGACUUCGGGCGCGAGAUUUGAGUUGGGAAAUGUCAAAUCCGUGAAAAAAUGUGGUGAGAAUGCCCCCUGCUCGAUGGUAGGUCCGGAUGGUUGAGAUAGUCUUGGGCCGACUUGGGCUGCUUGGAAAGCCACGGGAGCAGGCUGGGCCGUGAGAGUGGGCUGCUCGAAAGAAGCAGGCUAGACCACGGGAGUGGGUUGCUCGUCGGGAACAAGCUGGGUCACGAGAGCAGGCUGCUUGGCAGGAGCAGGCUGGGCCACGAGAGUGGGCUGUUUGGCAGGAGCAGGCUGGGCCACCGGAGUGGGCUGCUCGACGAAAGCAGGCUGGGCCACGGGAGUGGGUUGCUCGUCGGGAGCAGGCUGGGUCACGAGAGCAGGCUGCUUGGCAGGAGCAGGCUGGGCCACAGGAGUGGGCUGCUUGGCAAGAGCAGGUUGGGCCACCGGAGUGGGCUGCUCGUCGGGAGCAGGCUGGGUCACGAGAGCAGGCUGCUCGGCAGGAGCAAGUUGGGCCGUGAGAGUGGGUUGCUUGACGGGAGCAGGCUGGAUCACGGAAGCAGGCUGCUCAAUGCGCGGUGCAUGUGCAUGCGAGGCUUGGGCUUGGGUCCACGUAAACUUGGAUGGCACGGCUUGGAUUGUGGCCUUGGUACCGUGAGCCUUGGAUGGCACGGCUCGGGCCGUGGUGAAGGCUCCAUGGACCUCGCCACGAGUGGCUACCUCGGUAGCCACCGCGGUGGUUCCCAUGGUGGCCGUGGUGGAGGCACCAUAGACCUCGCCGCGGGUGGCUACCGAGGUAGCCACCACGGUGGUUCCCAUGGUAGAAGCUUGUGGUGAUGAUGCCGCUCCCCUUAUUGUCGCAUUUUGCCUCACGGAUCUCCGGGCCGUGGUGAAGGCUCCAUGGACCUCGCCACGAGUGGCUACCGAAGUAGCCACCGCGGUGGUUCCCAUGGUGGCCGUGGUGAAGGCACCAUGGACCUCGCCGUGGGUGGCUACCGAGGUAGCCACCACGGUGGUUACCAUGGUGGAAGCUCGUGAUGAUGAUGCCGCUCCCCUUAUUGUCGCAUUUAGCCUCACGGAUCUCCGUAAUCCCAUUUCUUGAACAUUAGAAUUUUCACUUGUGGAAUUUUCUAAAUUUCUAGCCAUUAUAUUUUGCUUAUACGUUUUAUCAAAGAACCUUUGCAAGUAAAAAAUUCUAAUAAUAAGAAUGUAUGAAAAAUAUUCAAAUGGACUAGAAAAUAAAGAAAAAACCUUUUUGUGCGAGAGUCUUCUACGAGUAUGGAUUUCAACUCUCAAUGAAAGCACCAAUUUGUGGAUGCAAAUUUUCUCCUCUUCGAUCUUGGACGAUUUUGCACCUACAAACAACUAGCACCUUAGGUUAAGGCCAAAAGUCUCACGCGCCCACGAUGAAUGGGGGGGGCUUUGGCCGAAGAACCUCCGAUGCCAAAGUUAGAAUUUUUAGAGAGAAAAAGUGUUUAGAGUGUUUAGCAUUUUUUGCAAGAGGAUUGGAAUGAAUUUUUGGUGAGAAUAGGUGCCUAUUUAUAGAGUUAGGGCUUGACCAAUUUUGAAUAAAAGUAACCAGCCACUAAAGGUUUUUUGUGGGGUUCAAUUUCAUGUUUAAUUAGCCAAUUUAUUGGCUAAUUAAAUAUGAAAAGAAUAAAUGGGUGGUUAUAAAAAUGAAUGACUAUUUUAAUAAGGAAAAUGGGAAAGGUGAGGAUGGGAAUGGUGGUGGCCGGUUUUGACUAUCAAUUUGGGUGAUUUUAUUGACUAUUAAGGAUGAUUUUAGGAGAUAUGUUAGGUAUAUAUUAUUUAGCUAAUUGAUUAGCUAAAUAAUGAAAUAGAAAAUACUAGGUUUUGGGAAAUACCUUAUAGAAAGGAUUUGAUGAAAGAGGUUUUUAAUUGUUACCUUUUUUGGGCACUUUUGACUUGAUUGAAAGAUGAUUGCCCGCUACUCGCGCGUAGGAAUCCUGGUAUGCCUCAAGAGUAUUUUUGUUCUCUUUUGUCCAAAAGUCCACGUGUCGCCUAGUGAAUAUUUUUGGCUCCACAACUAUGAUCAAAAUUUAACCGUUGAUUGUUGUUUACAUUUACGCUCCAUUCUUUUCACCAAAUUUUGUUUUUUGAAUAAUAUGAUCUUUUAGAGGAUGGAGGAAGAUGAACGGUUUGAUCGUUCGGAGUUUUACUAUUAAUGAAAAUAUUGCUUUGAGUUUACAAAGGCUCUAGAAACUAUCUAAUAACAGUUGACUUGAAUUUCAGACAACAAGUCAAGUAAAAUUUAUCACAGUAAUGAUAAUAAGAAACUCUCAUAACAAAAACAAAUAAAUAACUAAAACUUAAUUUUUAUUAACUUAUAUAGUAUAAUAAUACAAUAAUACAUAUUUAAUAAACAAUAUAUAACUAUAGCUAUAGUAUUUUAUAGUAAGUUUUAACUGUUUAACUUUAAAAUCAUCAAAAUAAUUUUUUCUUAACAGGUCAAAACGCGUUACCCGUGUGUAAAUUGAUUAAGGACCCGUUAUUAACAGGUUUUUAACUGGAGGCCCAAUAACGACCCGAUUAAUUAUUGUAUUAAACCGAAACUUGUUACUUUCGUGCCGUGUUAAUGAAUCAUGUAAGAAAUUGCCAAGUUUAGUUAAACUUCAUGUCUCACCCCACCACAACCAGUUAUAUAUUAAUUUUUUUUUUGGGUAAAAGACUGUUUACUACCCUCAUGUUUCGUGGUUUUCAACAUUUAGUACAUCAAAUUUUUUUCGUUUCAGUCUCAGAUUCAUACCUAAAGUGUAAAUUUUGGGACAGUCUCAUACAUCCGUUAGUCAAACUGUUAAGUCUCCCAUUAACUGUGACGUGGCGCACUGACUGGGCGCCACAUGUCAUCCACGUUUUUUUUUCUUUUCUUUUCUUCCUUCUUCUUCCUCCGACUGCAACUUUUUUUUUGCUUCCUUCCUCCUUCCUUCUUCUUCUUCUUCCUCCGAAUCUGGGGAAGCUUUAUUUU